GACGAACGCUGGCGGCGUGCUUAACACAUGCAAGUCGAACGGAAAGGCCCUGCUUUUGUGGGGUGCUCGAGUGGCGAACGGGUGAGUAACACGUGAGUAACCUGCCCUUGACUUUGGGAUAACUUCAGGAAACUGGGGCUAAUACCGGAUAGGAGCUCCUGCUGCAUGGUGGGGGUUGGAAAGUUUCGGCGGUUGGGGAUGGACUCGCGGCUUAUCAGCUUGUUGGUGGGGUAGUGGCUGACCAAGGGUUUGACGGGUAGCCGGCCUGAGAGGGUGACCGGCCACCUGGGGACUGAGAUACGGACCAGACGCCUACGUGAGGCAGCAGUGGGGAAUAUUGCACAAUGGGCGGAAGCCUGAUGCAGCAACGCCGCGUUCGGGAUGACGGCCUUCGGGUUGUAAACCGCUUUCGCCUGUGACGAAGCGUGAGUGACGGUAAUGGGUAAAAAAGCACCGGCUAACUACGUG
rnacentral:rRNA from 1 species